rnacentral:rRNA from 1 species
UACGUAGGGGGCAAGCGUUAUCCGGAUUUACUAGGUGUAAAGGGAGCGUAGACGGCGAUGCAAGCCAGAUGUGAAAGCCCGCGGCUCAACUGCGGUAGUGCAUUUGGAACUGUAUGGCUGGAGUGCAGGAGAGGCAGGCGGAAUUCCUAGUGUAGCGGUGAAAUGCGUAGAUAUUAGGAGGAACAUCAGUGGCGAAGGCGACUUUCUGGACUGUAACUGACGCUGAGGCACGAAAGUGUGGGGAGCAAACAGG